GUACUCGCUAAGGCGGUACAUAUCCUAAAAUUGGAACGAUACAGAGAAGAUUAGUAUGGCCCUCCACAAGGAUGAAUCGUGAAGCGAUCCACAUUUUC
rnacentral:snRNA from 13 species